ensembl:lncRNA
ACCCACACACACACAUACACGCACACACACACACACACACACACACACACACACACACACACACAAUCACACACACACACAGUGAGUGAAAGUGAGCUGUAAGAGGGGACACACAUAAUUUGGAUCGGCUAUAUGCUAUAUGCUAUAUGGAUAGGCUAUAUGCUAUAUGUAAAUGCUAUAUGCUAUAUGCUAUAUGGAUAGGCUAUAUGCUAUAUGGAUAGGCUAUAUGCUAUAUGGAAAUGCUAUAUGGAUAGGCUAUAUGCUAUAUGGAUUGGCUAUAUGCUAUAUGGAUAGGCUAUAUGGAUAGGCUAUAUGCUAUAUGGAUUGGCUAUAUGCUAUAAGGAUCGGCUAUAUGCUGUAUGGAAAUGCUAUAUGUAUAUGCUAUAUGGAUAGGCUAUAUGGAAAUGCUAUAUGAUAUAUAAAAUCUGAUUCAUGCCUUUAUUUCAAGCCGGCUUGAUUAUUGUAAUGCAAUUCUAACUGGCCUUCUGAAAAAAACAACUGAGAGACUUCAGCUCAUUCAAAACUCUGCAGCUCGGCUAUUAACCAGAACCAAGAGGAGAGAGCACAUUAGUCCAGUUUGAGAUGCUCUGCACUGACUUCCAGUAACCUUUAGAAUUGACUUUAAGGUCCUUCUCCCUAUAUACAAAGCCCUUAAUGGGCUAGGACCAAGUUACAUUGCAAACUCCCUUGUCAAAUACUUGCCUUCAAGAACACUGCGAUCAUCAAAUGCUGGUUUAUUGGAGGUUCCCAACAGGGGCGUAUCUAGCCCUAUUUUGGGGGGGCUGGAGCCCAACCAAAAGUUUCCUUAGCCCCCCCAAAAAUAUUUUUUAUUUUUUAUUUUGAGAUCGUCAAAUUCACACCUAACAACCGAUUUAUACUUAUUUUGUUUAAUUUUUAGAGUAAGAAAUAAAAUAGUCUCGAGUAGGACAGGAAUCCCGCCUGUUUGAGACUGUGGUGGCAAGCGCACAGCUCUGUUUGGUCGUAAAUGAGUGAGCCUCUCGAGCGUGCAGACAGACGGUGAUAACGUCUAGUAAACAGACUCGGAGCGACUGUCCGACCCAAGCUGGUGAAAGCUGCCAUAAUCAGCUGCUGGAUAUAAAGGUA